UCCUAGCAGAGCAGAAAUCCUCACUAAGUUUAACCGGAUUUUCUCUGACAACUUUUCUAAGUAUAUUACCUUUGUUGCAAUUAAAGAAAACGUAAACUUAGUAUGUGACCACAGCUGUGACUUGCAUUAUAUUUCUGUUGGACAGAAUGCUUACUGUGAAUAGCCUUGCCUUCCAGAGCAUGUUUCCGUGGCCUAGAGAUGGGAAGCUCAGUGAAGGCAGAGAUGGCACAUAAUAGCAUUCAGCUGGUGUUCUGGAUGGAUAGAUGCGUGGGUAUGCAGAUGGAUGGAAAGAAUAAAACAGGCAUGAAUAUCACUGAGGGAUUGUCACUGAUGUCACCUCAAGCUUCAGCCUCACUGCUGUGUUGUGAUCAUAAUAGUCUAACAGAGCCACCAGCCCAGUGGAAAUCCAUGUGCUGCUUGUUUCUUCAAUUUUUUGUGGCUGAACCAAUGACAAUGACGGUUUCAGGAAAAGAAGAAGAUAGAAAGUCCUUCCAAGCCAUGACUGAGAUUUCUCAGGGACUUUUUUUGCUGGAUCUUCUACCAUCAUCAACUUUUUCUACUUCUUCAUGAAAAAGUAGUUCAUAAAUAAGAAGUGGGGAAGACCAUGCAUUAUACUAUAGAGAUACAAAGGUUUUUAUAUAUUGAAGAAAAGGCAGAUAAUAAGCACACUGACAAGUAAGCCUUUGGAUGGAGUAGUGAGGCCAGGACCACCACGGGCUACUUCU